GCCGAGGUAGCUCAGUGAUGAGAGCGCUCAGCUAGCAAUCGAGAGGUCGGGGGGAUCGAUCCCUCUCUCGGCA